UGCGGUAUUCCCUUCGACCGAGCUGACUUCGUUUUUCAAAAUGAACAUCUAAGUUGUUUAAGUGCGAAUGAUCGGUACGAAAACAUGAACGGGUUCUGUUGAAGCUUCCCUGCCAUUAUGCUCCAUCAUUUGAAUAACUAUUCAAUGCAACAAAAAUGUUAUAAAUGAUGCAAUAAAAUAAUUUAUGAUUUAAAUAACUA